rnacentral:misc_RNA from 1 species
GAUGAAGAACGCAGCGAAAUGCGAUAAGUAAUGCGAAUUGCAGAAUUUCCGUGAGUCAUCGAAUCUUUGAACGCACAUUGCGCCCUCUGGUAUUCCGGGGGGCAUGCCUGUCCGAGCGUCAUUUGCAACCCUCAAGCCCGGCUUGUGUGAUGGGUGCCGUCCCCUACGGGACGCGCCCCGAAGGCAAUGGCGGCGUCGCGGUUAUCCGAUCAGCCAAAGUGUAUGGGGCUUUGUCACUCACUUUACGGCCCGGACCGGCGCCAGUCCGAAUCAAUCUUUUUUCUAAAGUUGACCUCGGAUCAGGUAGGGAUACCCGCUGAACUUAAGCAUAUCAAUAAGCGGAGGA